UACGUAGGGUGCAAGCGUUAAUCGGAAUUACUGGGCGUAAAGCGUGCGCAGGCGGUGAUGUAAGACAGAUGUGAAAUCCCCGGGCUCAACCUGGGAACUGCAUUUGUGACUGCAUCGCUGGAGUACGGCAGAGGGGGAUGGAAUUCCGCGUGUAGCAGUGAAAUGCGUAGAUAUGCGGAGGAACACCGAUGGCGAAGGCAGCCUCCUGGGCCAGCACUGACGCUCAUGCACGAAAGCGUGGGGAGCAAACAGG
rnacentral:rRNA from 1 species